UACGUAGGGUGCAAGCGUUGUCCGGAAUUAUUGGGCGUAAAGAGCUCGUAGGCGGUCUGUCACGUCUGCUGUGAAAACUCGGGGCUUAACCCCGGGCCUGCAGUGGGUACGGGCAGACUAGAGUGCGGUAGGGGAGACUGGAAUUCCUGGUGUAGCGGUGAAAUGCGCAGAUAUCAGGAGGAACACCAGUGGCGAAGGCGCCGCUCUGGGCCGUGACUGACGCUGAAGAGCGAAAGCGUGGGUAGCAAACAGG
rnacentral:rRNA from 1 species